CCUACGGGCGGCAGCAGUGGGGAAUAUUGGACAAUGGGCGAAAGCCUGAUCCAGCCAUGCCGCGUGUGUGAAGAAGGCCUUCGGGUUGUAAAGCACUUUCAGUGGGGAAGAAAGCCUUGGGGCUAAUACCCUCGAGGAAGGACAUCACCCACAGAAGAAGCACCGGCUAACUCCGUGCCAACAGCCGCGGUAAUACGGAGGGUGCGAGCGUUAAUCGGAAUUACUGGGCGUAAAGCGCGCGUAGGCGGUCUGAUAAGCCGGUUGUGAAAGCCCCGGGCUCAACCUGGGAACGGCAUCCGGAACUGUCAGGCUAGAGUGCAGGAGAGGAAGGUAGAAUUCCCGGUGUAGCGGUGAAAUGCGUAGAGAUCGGGAGGAAUACCAGUGGCGAAGGCGGCCUUCUGGACUGACACUGACGCUGAGGUGCGAAAGCGUGGGUAGCAAACAGGAUUAGAUACCCCUGUAGUC
rnacentral:rRNA from 1 species